AAAGGGGGUGAGUACAUAUGCUUGCACCACUUUUCCAUUCAUUUAUUUUUUACAUUUUUUCAAACAAGUUAUUUUUUUCAUUUCACUUCACCAAUUUGGACUAUUUUGUAUGUUCAUUUCAUGAAAUCCAAAUAAAAAUCAAUUUAAAUUACAGGUUGUAAUGCAACAAAAUAGUUAAAACGCCAAGGGGGAUGAAUACUUUUGCAAGGCACUGUAAAUAGCCUCUAAAAUAUAUGUGAACAGAUCAUAAAUGUCCCAAAAAUAUAUAUUGGAAAGCUGUGAGUGCAAUAAUAUGAUACAAUAUCCAGUGCUUGACAUGGACUAAAAUAGCUGCCAGUACUCAUUUUGGGUGCCACUACUGUUUAUAUUUAGGGGCAGGAGCUCCACAAUACUUUGGAGCUAAUAUUCUAUAAGAGGAACAGGAGCUCAAGCAGUAGAAUAUUUGAGGUGCUGGUACUCAGCUCUGGUGAGCUCCUGCCCAAGUCAAGCACUGAAAAUAUCAGUACUUGUUGCAUUUCUAACUUGUCUAUGUACUAUCAUCAACUGAUUUCAGACAGUGUUCCUCUAAAGCUGUCUGGCUAGCUAGUUAACAAACAUACAGUGCAGAUCAAUUUUUUAAAUUAAUUAUUUUACACAAUAUCUUAUCACAGGACUGACAAAACCUGGUUGACCAACUCCUUGACCUAAAUGGCGGAUCUUUGUCCCAUCAUAAGAAGGUUCAUGUCCAUUCUUGUAUUCUAAUUCCUAAUUCUAUGUCGCUCUCCCUCCUCCUCUUCCUCCAUCUCUAAGCCCCACCUGUAGGACCCUGACCACCCAGAGCACAGCUAGCCCCCUCUAGAUCUCCACACUUCGCCCCUCCAGUCAACCCUCAUCCAUCCCGUCUAUCCUCUCCCACUACAGAAACCUGUAGCCAUGCCCGCUACAGAUCCAAUGGAUUAUCAGCUAAGGAAGAAGAGUUGCCUCCCACAGAGAGACCAACUAUCACCCAAGCCAAGGCUAUCACUCAGAGAGGGAAAGUUAACCAGGCCUGAGGAGCUGGCUCCAGCCCCAGCCUCAACCUCACCUGAGCCAGCCUCACCUAUAUCUCCCCCACCCUCACCUAUGUUAGCCAAAGCCUCAUCUAUGAUGUCGGCCCCAGCUUGUCUUGGGUCUCCCCCAGCCUCACCUGUGUAGACUCGAUCCCCACCUGUGUCUGUACUUGUCCCCUCUGAACCUCCUGAGCAGCCAGAUGAGGAAUCCACCACUCCCCCUGAUCUCCCUUCCCCACCGUGGGACCUCGCUUCCCCACCGUGGGACCUCGCUUCCCCACCGUGGGACCUCGCUUCCCCACCGUGGGACCUGCCAGCAUCCCCUCUGCUGCUGCACCACAGGAAAUUAAAGGUCCUACCAGAGGACUCGGCUACGCUUUCAGACUCAACACCUGACGUCAGAGGUCAAGUGCCUGUAAAAAUGGAUGGGAUGUUGGCGAUCAAGUUGAAACAAGGCGGAAACAAAGGUUUGGACAACUGGGAUGCUGUCUAUGGAGUACUGGAGAGGGAGACACAAAGACAGGGAUGCUGUUCAAAGACAGGGAUGCAGCUACAGAGAGGUCUUUGUGAUGGCCGCCGAUCAAUAUAAUAUGUAAGGAUGACCCAGAUUACAGGAGAAAGGACCAUAUCUUCAAACUAAUGUGAGUCCUUCACAUUACUAAAAGAUCAUUUAUGCUUAAAGUGGCAAUCUAAGUACUGUAGCAUUGAUGCUAUGUUAGAAGUUUGAGGACAUUGUAAUAAAGUAUAUAGAGACUGAUGCACCUCUGACAAAAUGUCUGUGACUGUCUGUUUUGCUGCCUGUGUAUGUUGUUCAGUCUGGAUGAUGGCAAUCAGUACCUGCCUCCAGCCGAGAGCAGCAGAUUAAAUGGGUGGAGGAACUUCAGAAAAGUCUGGAAAGUCCUCGGACUCUUAAGAUUCUGGAUAAGACAACUGUCAAAUGGAUGGGCCAUUCCUUAAAACUUUGUUAUUAUAAAUGAAUAACACAUAUCUUUUACCAGUGCCCUUACCCUUUAGUUUGGCAGCAGGUAGCCUAGCGCUUAAUGGGCCAGUAACCGAAAAGACGCUGGUUUGAAUCCC